UGCUGGCACCCGGAUCCUGGACUUCCCAGCCUCCAGACUUGUCUUCACAGACGCUGCUUCCUCAAGAAGGCUUUCCCCAUUAUCUUCGUACUUCUCAGUCUUUAUUAUUUUGUCUCGGUUUCUUCAUAGAAUUUAUAGACAUUUACCAGCAUGCCAUUGCUCUCAGAGCACACAGCACGACGCCUAACCUCACCUGGGGACAUCAGACAAAGAUCCUGAAAGGGGAAGCAGGAGUUAACCAGGUGAAAGCUGUAUGGAUGAUAGAGAGUAGCCCCUUCAACAUCAAGGCCAAACAGAGCACUGCUGAUGGCUAACAUUUUUAGGUUGCAAGUGAUCUGGCCUUGGAGAUACGGUAACUGGUUGGGAACACAAAGUUGUCACCCAAGCAAAGGAUGACAGUGGAUGUCAAGAAGCAAGACUAUGCUGGAUCCUUUCUGCCGUUCUACCAGAUCCAUCCUCCACCCUCAUCUAUCAUUGUCUGUGUGGAUCUUGAUCAAUGGACUUUGCCUCUGGCUCCUGAUUGGGUUUGCACAAUGGGAAGCAGAAGAAAGUGAAGUUGUGGCUCCUUCUUUUCAUAGAGCUGCAGGUUGGACAUGCCCGUUUCCUCAAGUCUACAGCCCUUUUCAGCUGGAAUUUGCCAGCUAACAACUUCCUCCAGGUUUAGAUAGCCACUAAAUUAUCUUGCCCCUUCAGGGUUAAGGGGUAAUGGGUUCCCCUCUAUUAGUAGCCAGUGGGUAAUGAACUAUCUCUGGUUUGUUCCUUAAAACAUGCCCAUAAUAGUCUCUUUAAAUAAUUCUCCUCAAAUUACCUGGCCUGAGUAGGUCCCACUGGAACUCUGAUUCAUGCACACACUUAGUUCGUUCUUUGCAACCACUCAGUGGCAUAGAUGGGUACGUGAUGUCACUUUCUUGCUUAAAAUGUUUUAGUGCCUUGUCAUUGUAAUUGAAAUAAAACCCAAAGAGUAUGGUUUGCAAGGCCAUACUUGACCUGG